AUUGAACGCUGGCGGCAUGCCUUACACAUGCAAGUCGAACGGCAGCACGGACUUCGGUCUGGUGGCGAGUGGCGAACGGGUGAGUAAAACAUCGGAACGUGCCCAGUCGUGGGGGAUCACGUAGCGAAAGCUACGCUAAUACCGCAUACGAUCUAAGGAUGAAAGCGGGGGAUCGCAAGACCUCGAGCGAUUGGGGCGGCCGAUGGCAGACUAGGUAGUUGGUAGGGUAAAGGCCUGCCAAGCCGACGAUCUGUAGCUGGUCUGAGAGGCUGAUCAGCCACACUGGGACUGAGACACGGCCCAGACUCCUACGGGAGGCAGCAGUGGGGAAUUUUGGACAAUGGGCGCAAGCCUGAUCCAGCCAUUCCGCGUGCAGGAUGAAGGCCUUCGGGUUGUAUACUGCUUUUGUACAGAUCGAAGAGGCUCUGGUUAAUACCCGGGACUCAUGACGGGACUGUAAGAAUAAGCACCGGCUAUCUACGUGCCAGCAGCCGCAGUAA
rnacentral:rRNA from 1 species